rnacentral:sRNA from 1 species
CUGGACGAGAUCGGGGCGGGGGAGGGCC